rnacentral:rRNA from 1 species
GCGAGCGGCGGUAUGGGUGAGUAACACGUGGGGAACCUGCCCCUAAGUCUGGGAUACCAUUUGGAAACAGGUGCUAAUACCGGAUAAUAAGGCAGAUCGCAUGAUCAGCUUUUGAAAGGCGGCGUAAGCUGUCGCUAAGGGAUGGUCCCGCGGUGCAUUAGCUAGUUGGUAAGGUAACGGCUUACCAAGGCGACGAUGCAUAGCCGAGUUGAGAGACUGAUCGGCCACAUUGGGACUGAGACACGGCCCAAACUCCUACGGGAGGCAGCAGUAGGGAAUCUUCCACAAUGGACGCAAGUCUGAUGGAGCAACGCCGCGUGAGUGAAGAAGGUUUUCGGAUCGUAAAGCUCUGUUGUUGGUGAAGAAGGAUAGAGGUAGUAACUGGCCUUUAUUUGACGGUAAUCAACCAGAAAGUCACGGCUAACUACGUGCCAGCAGCCGCGGUAAUACGUAGGUGGCAAGCGUUGUCCGGAUUUAUUGGGCGUAAAGCGAGCGCAGGCGGAAAAAUAAGUCUAAUGUGAAAGCCCUCGGCUUAACCGAGGAACUGCAUCGGAAACUGUUUUUCUUGAGUGCAGAAGAGGAGAGUGGAACUCCAUGUGUAGCGGUGGAAUGCGUAGAUAUAUGGAAGAACACCAGU